GACGAACGCUGGCGGCGUGCUUAACACAUGCAAGUCGAACGGAAAGGCCCCUUUGGGGGUACUCGAGUGGCGAACGGGUGAGUAACACGUGAGUAACCUGCCCUUGACUUCGGGAUAACUUCAGGAAACUGGGGCUAAUACCGGAUAGGAAUCCUUGCUGCAUGGUGGGGGUUGGAAAGCUUCGGCGGUUUUGGAUGGACUCGCGGCUUAUCAGCUUGUUGGUGGGGUAGUGGCUUACCAAGGCUUUGACGGGUAGCCGGCCUGAGAGGACGACCGGCCACAUUGGGACUGAGAUACGGCCCAGACUCCUACGGGAGGCAGCAGUGGGGAAUAUUGCACAAUGGGCGGAAGCCUGAUGCAGCAACGCCGCGUGCGGGAUGACGGCCUUCGGGUUGUAAACCGCUUUCAGCAGGGGCGAAGCUUGUGGUGACGGUACCUGCAGAAGAAGCACCGGCUAACUACGUG
rnacentral:rRNA from 1 species